rnacentral:misc_RNA from 1 species
GAAAUGCGAUAAGUAGUGUGAAUUGCAGAAUUCAGUGAAUCAUCGAAUCUUUGAACGCACAUUGCGCCCUUUGGUAUUCCAAAGGGCAUGCCUGUUCGAGCGUCAUUUGUACCCUCAAGCUUUGCUUGGUGUUGGGCGUCUUGUCUCUAGCUUUGCUGGAGACUCGCCUUAAAGUAAUUGGCAGCCGGCCUACUGGUUUCGGAGCGCAACACAAGUCGCACUCUCUAUCAGCAAAGGUCUAGCAUCCAUUAAGCCUUUUUUUCAACUUUUGACCUCGGAUCAGGUAGGGAUACCCGCUGAACUUAAGC